rnacentral:rRNA from 1 species
GACGAACGCUGGCGGCGUGCUUAACACAUGCAAGUCGAACGGAAAGGCCCUGCUUUUGUGGGGUGCUCGAGUGGCGAACGGGUGAGUAACACGGGAGUAACCUUCCCUUGACUUGGGGAUAACUUCAGGAAACUGGGGCUAAUACCGGAUAGGAGCUCCUGCUGCAUGGUGGGGGUUGGAAAGUUUCGGCGGUUGGGGAUGGACUCGCGGCUUAUCAGCUUGUUGGUGGGGGAGUGGCUGACCAAGGGUUUGACGGGUAGCCGGCCUGAGAGGGUGACCGGCCACAUUGGGACUGAGAUACGGCCAAGAGUCCUACGGGAGGCAGCAGUGGGGAAUAUUGCACAAUGGGCGGAAGCCUGAUGCAGCAACGCCGCGUGCGGGAUGACGGCCUUCGGGUUGUAAACCGCUUUCGCCUGUGACGCAGCGUGAGUGACGGUAAUGGGCAAAGAAGCACCGGCUAACUACGUG